GCAUGAGUGAAGAAGGCCUUUGGGUUGUAAAGCUCUUUUAGUGAGGAAGAUAAUGACGGUACUCACAGAAGAAGUCCUGGCUACUCCGUGCCAGCAGCCGCGGUAAUACGGAGAGGGCUAGCGAUUAUUCGGAAUUAUUGGGCGUAAAGGGCGCGUAGGCUGAUUAAUAAGUUAAAAGUGAAAUCCCGAGGCUUAACCUUGGAAUUGUUUUAAAACUAUUAAUCUAGAGAUUGAAAGAGGAUAGAGGAAUUCCUGAUGUAGAGGUAAAAUUCGUAAAUAUUAGGAGGAACACCAGUGGCGAAGGCGUCUAUCUC
rnacentral:rRNA from 1 species